rnacentral:rRNA from 1 species
GAUGAACGCUAGCGGCAGGCCUAACACAUGCAAGUCGAGGGGGAGGUUACUUUCGGGUAACUGAGACCGGCGUACGGGUGCGUAACGCGUAUACAAUCUGCCUUUCACUGGGGGAUAGCCCGAAGAAAUUUGGAUUAAUACCCCAUAGUAUAGUAAUACGGCAUCGUGAUGCUAUUAAAGCUUAGGUGGUGAAAGAUGAGUAUGCGUUCUAUUAGCUAGUUGGAGAGGUAACGGCUCCCCAAGGCGAUGAUAGAUAGGGGUUCUGAGAGGGAUGUCCCCCACACUGGUACUGAGAUACGGACCAGACUCCUACGGGAGGCAGCAGUGAGGAAUAUUGGACAAUGGUCGGUAGACUGAUCCAGCCAUGCCGCGUGCAGGAUGAAGGUCUUAUGGAUUGUAAACUGCUUUUGUAAGGGAAGAAUAAGGGCUACGCGUAGUUUGAUGACGGUACCUUACGAAUAAGCAUCGGCUAACUCCGUG